ACGCUCGACACCUACGGGAGGCAGCAGUCGGGAAUAUUGCGCAAUGGAGGAAACUCUGACGCAGUGACGCCGCGUGCAGGAAGAGGUUUUCGGAUUGUAAACUGCUUUAGACAGGGAAGAAAGAAAUGACAGUACCUGUAGAAUAAGCUCCGGCUAACUACGUGCCAACAGCCGCGGUAAUCUGAGCGGGCUGGCAAGGC
rnacentral:rRNA from 1 species